rnacentral:lncRNA from 1 species
GCGGGAUUUUUUAUGAUAUCGAGUAGCGGAUUAUAGAUGUCAAUGUAGACCACUCUCGAGUUUGGUAGGUUUUUGUUAAGGCGAUCCAUCUCCACAUUGAGCUUGGAAUUGAACAGCUGGCAUGCUUGGUUUUGUCUUUCAUCACAAUCUCUUUCUAUGCCUCCAUUUACCGUUCGUUGUGAUGGUACACAUCCGAUAGGUGGUGCACUUAGUACACCUAUUCUUCGUACCCCCAAUCCAUACAAGUCCUACAAAAUUCAUAACUUUGCUAUAUCAAUUAAAUAGUGAAAAGAUGCACAUUUUUCAUUUUUAGCAAUUUGUAUCACGAAAAUACGCACCUUGACGAAAUCAGAGGCAUGUUUGAGCAUGAAGUCGGUGUAAGAAGGAACGUCAUACUCCAAUCUCCUAGCACCGGUAAGAAAAUAGGUAUAAGAAAUAUCGUUGCUGCCGGCUACCACAAAAAUUAGACUGUUUUUUAUAAUGAAGUUUGUUUUCUCCUCUCCAACAAUUCCUUUCAGCUUUUCUAUGUACUCCUUGAACUGUUUUAUUUGGUCGGAUAGCGAUGCAACUACCUACACAAUCGAAUUCCAGAAUUAAUGAAGGAGGAAAAAAUAAAAUUAACAAAAGAAUAAAGGAUUAGAGCUUUAAAUAUAUAGGUCAUACCCCGAGUUUUGCUGUCAAUGGAUCAUAACCUACAGCACCGUUAGCCAUGACAACACCGGUAAGGAGGUCAUUAGGCUGCAGGGUUGGAUCCAAAUAUGCCGGCAACAGCUCCUUGAUUCCGAAUGCUUCCACUGGACAUGAAAAAAAAAUCGUAACAUAGAGGAGGGUUAAUUGAACAUUUUAUUGUAUAAGAGAAUAUUUCGGAAUAUUUGGGACAAAAUUAGAGAUAAAAAGUAUUAUAUUCUCGGAUUUUUCACAAAAAACUAGGAGUUAGCGCACAGUUUUUUAUCGGUUUUACGAAGUUCUACAAAAGCAAAGCCACAAUGGCUACUAGUUAGUAAUCUUUUAUUAGUGUUUAAUGGUAGUGAUGAUGAUGACGACGAUGAUUGUGAUGAUGAUCGUGAUGACAACCUAUGAAGUCUGAGGGAACCUUUCCAUUGGAAUAUCUGCCGGUUGGCAUUCCUCCCUUGAGGUCUUUUCCAUAGGGUAAGAAAUUGCAGCGUGCAAAUGUCACGAAGUUUUUGUUGUUGUUGCCGGUAUCAACAAUUGAAUCUCCGAAUACAAUAACAGCCGGGAUAGUCACAUUCUCCGGUAGCUUGACUGUUGCGGCUGCCUCAGUAACGUUACUCAUACUAAUAAUAUUGCAGAAGAAAAUCACGAAAAUUACAUAUGACGACUGCAUCUGCAGCCUGAUCAGUUUAGGAAUAAACAGACCUAGUCCUCCUGCAUCUGCAUGCAUUCUGGACAAUUAAAUCCCCCAGUUGUAGGUACACAAAAAUAAAUGAUCGAAAAGAUAUGAGCAUAAACUUGUGGGUCUUUAAUUUCCGAUUGUGAAUUUAUAUUAGUUUUCGAUUGUUUCUUGUGAAUUUAAUCAAUUUAUAUGUGAAUGUUUAUUGUGUUUGUUGUGAAUUUAUAUUAGUUUCCGAUUGUUUCUGGUGAAUUUUAUAUGAUUGGCUGUUGUGUUUGUUGUAAAUUUAUACACAAAAAAAGUUGAGGUUGCCCACAUCCCUCGUAUAAACCAUUUUAUACACAAAGACAGUUGAGGUUGCCCGCAUCCCUCUUAUAAACCCUUUUAUACACAAAGAAAGUUUAGGUUGCCUACACAAAGAAAGUUGGACUACAUCCCUCUUAUAAGUCUUUGCAUGUUUGGUCUCACACGUCGUGUCGUCAUUAGGUUUCAUACGUGAGCUAACAUGCUAUGUUCCACCAUUAAACUAAUUAACGAUAUGAUAAGUAUUUCAAUCUCUUAUAUGAUUUAAUCUCACACCAAUGUGAAAUUUUGUCCUCACAUCUUCACAAUAUAUACGUAUAGAUCGAGUCAUAGAUUUUUCUCAAGCAAGCUUCAGUCGAUGGCGUCCAUUUAUUAACAACGCAAAUAAAUAGUCGGUUGUUUUAACUUUUUUCAACAUGCAAUAAUUAAUUUAGGUGGCUUAAUAGGCUCUCCAUACUGAUACAGAGCUAAAAGAUAAAAAAAUUAUUUUCUACAUUAGAGAACAAUUUUAAUGAAAGUUUCGACAAAUGUCUCAUGCAUCAGUUCAUGCAUAAUGUCAUUUUAUUUUAUUUUAAAAUAUACGAUUCUAAUAUAACUAAGAGAAAGCAGGCUUUAAUUAGGCUAUGUUUUGAGUGAAAUACAAAUGAGGAAGACAUAAAGCUAAACUUCGUUGAUGGAAAUAACAUAUAUAGCAAGUAACACGAUAGGGGAACUUCACUUACAAAGAAAAUAUAUGAUAAAAAUCAUCUAAAACAAUAGUUGGUAGAAGUAGAAAGAUCAUGAAUAUAAGCAAACGUUACACAUGAAGGAACGUUGGACUAGACCACCAAUAAUAUGGAUCAUGAUCUGUACAAAAAGUUAGCUAAGGCAUCGGCUACACACUUGCCCUCGCGAAAAAUAUGGGAAACAAAAACAUGCAUAUGCCUAACUGCCCACAAGCAAUUGCUCCAAUCAACAUGCAAAUACCAAGGAAUAACUAGGAAAGUUUACGUAGUGAAUCACCAUAGUUGAGUCCGUCUCCAACCAAAUGUGAUUAACCUUCAAGUUCCAAUGAAAUUUAGGUCAAGUGAGAAAAAAACUACUUUACAAAGUUGUAGCGUUUGUUUAGAAGUGCUAUUAAAGUGACUAAAAACGCUUUUGGUAAAAAUGUUGUUUAGACCAAUUCUGAAUAAAAAUACAAGUGAAACCUCAAAAAGCAGUUGAAGUGCUUCUUACGCAAUUUGGCUGUUGUGGUAGUGGAACAAUAGAAACUGGUUUAUUGUGAAGCCAAUUCAGUCCGUUCACAUGUACAAAUUUCUCUAUAUAAUGUUUGUAUUCACUUUCACCCGAUCGACAGAAAGAGCUGCCGGUGCAGGAAACGUUGCUUCGCAGAUUCUUCAAAAAUAUUUCAAAAUUAGGUUUCUUGAUGCCGCCCUCGGUAUCUCAGUGGUCCCCACGUGUCAAACUCUCUAUUGGUCUAAUUCAUAUCGAUAAACAGAUCUAUGCAUCUAAACAUGUUUUUGUUCCGAAUAUGUACGUGUGAAUGAUUUCAAGAAGCUAUAUACAAUUCUUGUUUCUCUUGUUAAUAUGUCUGAUUUGUUUGUUUCAUAUAACAAAACCAUGUCGACCUAAAUCCUAAAGAAACACAUAACUCUUUGAUCAACCUAAGUCCAGAACAAAUCAAUUUUACAAAUUGUUAUUCCAAGCAGGGAAUUUGAAGGGUUUUAUUCAUUUGUAAAGAUAUAAUGAAUUGUUUCAGAUGAAGUGGCUGGUAUAAUUGUCUAGAAUCUGCUUCACAAUGAUCUUGUACGCUCUUUCGGUUGGAUGGUAGCUGUCCCAGAAAACAUACUUAGAGUCAUCUAUGCAGACUCCUGCAGGUUGGAGCUGGUUGCACAGUUUUGUCACUUCAAUGGUGCCAGUACCACAACACCCUUUAUUCGCAACUUCAAACCCUGUCGGGAUGGAUCAACACAAACAAAUAAAUCUUUACUAAUUUAUAAGAAAUGUAAUGGAGCUAGCUAGGUAGAGUAAAUGAAAUACCAUACCAUAUUUAGCGGGGUUUAUGAUGAGAUCGAGUAGCGAAUUGUAGAUGUCAAUGUAGACCACUCUCGAGUUUGGCAGGUUUUUGUUAAGGUGGUCCAUCUCCACAGAGAGCUUGGAAUUGAACAGUUGUGAUGCUUGGUUUUGUUUUUCGUCACAAUCUCUUCUUAUGCCUCCUUUUACAGUUCGUUGAGAAGGCACACAUCCGAUAGGUGGUGCACUUAGUACACCUAUUCUUCGUGCCCCCAAUCCAUACAAGUCCU